rnacentral:rRNA from 1 species
GACGAACGCUGGCGGCGUGCCUAAUACAUGCAAGUCGAGCGAACCAAUGGGAGCUUGCUCCCUGAGGUUAGCGGCGGACGGGUGAGUAACACGUGGGUAACCUGCCUGUAAGACUGGGAUAACUUCGGGAAACCGGAGCUAAUACCGGAUAAUUUCUUUUCUCGCAUGAGGAGAGAUGGAAAGAUGGUUUUGCUAUCACUUACAGAUGGACCCGCGGCGCAUUAGCUAGUUGGUGAGGUAACGGCUCACCAAGGCGACGAUGCGUAGCCGACCUGAGAGGGUGAUCGGCCACACUGGGACUGAGACACGGCCCAGACUCCUACGGGAGGCAGCAGUAGGGAAUCUUCCGCAAUGGACGAAAGUCUGACGGAGCAACGCCGCGUGAGCGAAGAAGGCCUUCGGGUCGUAAAGCUCUGUUGUUAGGGAAGAACAAGUACGAGAGUAACUGCUCGUACCUUGACGGUACCUAACCAGAAAGCCACGGCUAACUACGUGCCAGCAGCCGCAGUAAGAC